CAUUAUCGAAGUCGAAGGCGUAGGAGGGGAAAAGGGGAGUCCGACUGUCGCCGGCCUACGCCGUGGGUGCGUGCACGUCGCUCUUUCGACCCCCUCCGAAGCUUCAACCUUCUCUACACCCGUGUGCACCCGCUGUAGGUCCUUCGGGACCUAUGUCUUCAUCUCUCGAACUCGUAUGUCUACAGAAUGUGUAAUCGUGGCUCGCUUCGGCGACCGCGAACCUUUGUACAACUUUCAGCAAUGGAUCUCUUGGCUCUCGCAUCGAUGAAGGACGCAGCGAAUCGCGAUAAGUAAUGUGAAUUGCAGAUUUUCCGUGAAUCAUCGAAUCUUUGAACGCACCUUGCGCUCCUCGGUAUUCCGAGGAGCAUGCCUGUUUGAGUGUCAUCGAAAUCUCGAACCGAGGCCUUCGAUCCGUUCGAAGCCCGGUCUCGGAAUGUGGGGGACUGCCGGCGGCGACGUCGGCUCCCCUCAAAGGCAUUAGCUGUGGGCGCGAGCCCCGCGUGGCACGGCCUCCUCGACGUCGUAAUGAUCGUCGUGGGCUGGAAGCGCGUGGAUCGACGUUCCCAUGCUUUGCGAACCUUCGUGGGGACGACCCGCGAGCCUCGAAGCUUUGACCUCAAAUCAGGUAGGACUACCCGCUGAACUUAAGCAUAUCAAUAAGCGGAGGAAAAGAAACUAACGAGGAUUCCCCUAGUAACUGCGAGUGAAGCGGGACGAGCUCAAAUUUCGAAUCUGGCGGUCGUGGGCCGUCCGAGUUGUAAUCUAGAGAAGCGUCUUCCGCGCUGGACCGUGUACAAGUCUCCUGGAAGGGAGCAUCGUAGAGGGUGACAAUCCCGUCUUCGACACGGACCCCCCAGGGCUAUGUGAUGCGCUCUCGACGAGUCGAGUUGUUUGGGAAUGCAGCUCAAAUCGGGUGGUAAACUCCAUCUAAAGCUAAAUACUGGCGAGAGACCGAUAGCGAACAAGUACCGUGAGGGAAAGACGAAAAGAACUUUGGAAAGAGAGUUAAACAGUACGUGAAAUUGCUGGAAGGGAAACGCUUGACGUCAGUCGCGUCGGCCGGGGAUCAACCCUGCUUCUUGCUGGGCGUACUUCCUGGUCGACGGGUCAGCAUCGAUUUCGGCCGUCGUAGAAGGACGGGAGCGAACGUGGCACUCUCCGGGAGUGUGUUUAUAGCCUUCCGUAUGGAUGCGAUGGCGGGGAUCGAGGAACUCGGCACGACCCCUCGAGGGUUCGGGGCUUCGGCCCACGCUCG
rnacentral:rRNA from 1 species